rnacentral:misc_RNA from 1 species
AAGAUGAUAAUGGGGAAAAUAGCUUAAAGAAAAUCCUAAAACUAAGCUAUGAUUAUCUACCAUCUCCACAUCUGAAAAAGUGUUUUGCUUACUUUGCCAUGUUUCCAAAAGAUUUUGAGUUUGAGAAGGACCAACUAAUCCAACUCUGGAUGGCAGAAGGCUUUCUUCGUCCAUGUCAAGAGACCCCUGUGAUGGAAGACGUUG